rnacentral:rRNA from 1 species
GAUGAACGCUGGCGGCGUGCCUAAUACAUGCAAGUCGAACGGAAAGGCGCUGCUCUUGCUGCGCGCUUGUUAGGCGAACGGGGGAGUAAAACGCGAGUAUCACCCACUUGUCUGACGGAUAACUCUUGGGAACACGGGCUAUAAUCGGGUAGGAUAUUCUGAACCGUGGGGUGGGAUGGAAAGAGUCGGCGGUUGGGGAUGGACUCGCGGCUUAUGAGCUGGUUGGUGGGGUAGUGGCUGACCAAGGUUAUGAAGGGUAGCCGGCCUGAGAGGGUGACCGGCCACAUUGGGACUGAGAUACGGCCCAGACUCCUACGGGAGGCAGCAGUGGGGAAUAUUGCACAAUGGGCGGAAGCCUGAUGCAGCAACGCCGCGUGCGGGAUGACGGCCUUCGGGUUGUAAACCGCUUUCGCCUGUGACGAAGCGUGAGUGACGGUAAUGGGUAAAGAAGCACCGGCUAACUACGUG